AGAAUUCCCGCGCAAGCGCACUAAAAUCGAUACACACUGAAAUCGAUACAUAUCGAAAUCGUUGCACGCACAAUAAUUCAACUUCAAACAAUUAAUGCAAGAAGAAUCACAAAAUGGACGCCUUUCUUGAUCCGCUUCUGUUUAAUUGGUAUAAAAAUUUAUUUAUAUUGAUAAAUAAUAGAAUUUAGUAUAAUACCUAUUGUAAUAGCUAUAUGUAAGCUAUAUUGUAAUCAGUACACACAAAGUAAAACACACGAUGAAAUAGUAGAUUCAUUACUUUAACUACCAAGCCACUUUUAGGGCGCAUUGCCUACUGUAUCAAUGAUUAAGCAUCUUUGAAAAGCAUUCCUCAAGGUAUAAAUACAACAAUGCGCUGAUUCUCACCAAAUAUUGAAGAGAAAGAAUGAUCUCUUUCUUUUUGGCAUAAGGAGUGAGAAGAAAGCAAGAAAAUGUCAUUUAGGGAAAUAUAUCAAUAUGAAAAAUGCUCCAUGAGAAACGAGAGGCAGUCAGCGUGAAAAUUCUUCGUGAGGAUAUAUCGCCGUAUAGGAGGACAGCGAUAAAACAUGAAGCAAGAUAACAUUUCAGGUAAGUGCGUAGUAGAUAGA